rnacentral:rRNA from 1 species
UAGGGAAUCUUCGGCAAUGGACGAAAGUCUGACCGAGCAACGCCGCGUGAGUGAAGAAUGUUUUCGGAUCGUAAAACUCUGUUGUUAGAGAAGAACAAGGACGUUAGUAACUGAACGUCCCCUGACGGUAUCUAACCAGAAAGCCACGGCUAACUACGUGCCAGCAGCCGCGGUAAUACGUAGGUGGCAAGCGUUGUCCGGAUUUAUUGGGCGUAAAGCGAGCGCAGGCGGUUACUUAAGUCUGAUGUGAAAGCCCCCGGCUCAACCGGGGAGGGUCAUUGGAAACUGGGAGACUUGAGUGCAGAAGAAGAGAGUGGAAUUCCAUGUGUAGCGGUGGAAUGCGUAGAUAUAUGGAGGCACACCAGUGGCGAAGGCGGCUCACUGGUCUGUAACUGACGCUGAGGCUCGAUAGAGAGGGGAGCAAACAGG